rnacentral:tRNA from 1 species
UAAAUGAAAGCCAAAGGGAGGCAUCUAAUUGUUAAUUAGGGAAUUGUAGUUUGCAUCUACUCAUUUAG